rnacentral:rRNA from 1 species
AGAGUUUGAUCCUGGCUCAGAAUGAACGUUGGCGGCGUGGAUUAGGCAUGCAAGUCGUACGCACAGCUUCGGCUGUGAGUGGCGCAAGGGUGAGUAAUGCGAAGGUAACCAACCCUGGAGUUGGGCAUAACCGCGGGAAAACUGCGGGUAAUUCCCAGCGAUGUCGCGAGAUGGCAUCAUCUUGCGACCAAAGGUGUGAUUCCGCUCUAGGACGGGCCUUCGUGGUAUUAGGUAGUUGGUGAGGUAACGGCUCACCAAGCCGACGAUGCCUACCGGGUGUGAGAGCAUGACCCGGCACACUGGAACUGAGACACUGUCCAGACACCUACGGGUGGCUGCAGUCGAGAAUCUUCGGCAAUGGGCGAAAGCCUGACCGAGCGACGCCGCGUGAGGGAAGAAGGCCUUCGGGUUGUAAACCUCUUUCGUAGAGGAGGAAGGGGCCGUGCAGAGCGGUCUUUGACCUAUUCUAGGAAGAAGCUUGGGCUAAGUUCGUG